CGGUAAUACGGAGGAUGCAAGCGUUAUCCGGAAUUAUUGGGCGUAAAGCGUCCGCAGGUGGCUAAUCAAGUCUGCUGUUAAAGACAGAAGCUCAACUUCUGAGCAGCGGUGGAAACUGAGGAGCUAGAGUACGGUAGGGAUUGAGGGAAUUCCCAGUGUAGCGGUGAAAUGCGUAGAUAUUGGGAAGAACACCAGUGGCGAAGGCGCUCAACUGGGCCGUAACUGACACUGAGGGACGAAGGCUAGGAAAGCGAAAGGGAUUAGAUACCCCUGUAGUCCUAGCUGUAAACGAUGAACACUAGGCGUUGCUUGUAUCGACCCGAGCAGUGCCGUAGCCAACGCGUUAAGUGUUCCGCCUGGGGAGUACGCACGCAAGUGUGAA
rnacentral:rRNA from 1 species